CGCCGGGCAAACGCCACGCCAUCGAGAUGCGCGCACGAACAACCCAUGGAGGCGACGAGGCGAACUCCCUACUGGGCGUGGGGCGGUGCACAGGCGGCGGAACCUUCAGCGUGCCAGCCGGAGCAGCCAUCUCUCUUCGCGGGGCGUCGCUGUUACCUGCCGCAGGAACAGCUCCCCAAAAUGGCAGCGACGGGGCGCGGCGUGUGAAGCGCGCUCGAGGUGUUCGUGGAAAUGCCGCGCCAGGAAAACGGCGGAAAGUCGUGCCGGCCGCCGGCGCGGUGCGGCGUGGAAUGGAAGGCCACGGGCGGAAGACCCAGCGCAUUGUAUUUCUUCCCUCACUCGAGUCUUGACUUGAGUACAGGAGGUCGUCGUCUCUGCUCUGCUCUGUGACUCUGGUGUGUGAGAUGAGCACGCAAGCGCCACGGUCAACUGCCCGAGAAGUCAGUCCAAGAUGUCAAGCGCAUCCAAGGUGCAGGUACGACCGCCCCAGCUUCCAGGUUACUAGGCGGCUAGCUGCCAUGGCGUUGUGGACUGGGCUGGGUCAGGUGGCAAUGGUGGCGCAGCUGGUUGGCGCCGACGUCGGCGGGCUCAUCUCCAUGAUCAUGCAGGCUGCGCUGACAGCUCGCCAGAACAAGAGGGAGUGCGAGCAGCUCGCGCGGCGGGUCCUCAUGAUCGCAGAGCUUCUGCCGCACCUGCAGGUGCAGGAUCCGGAGGCCGUGCGGCCGCUGGUCGGGUUGGGCGACACGCUCCGGGACGCGCAUGAGCUUGUUGUGUCCUGUCAGGGGAGGAGCGUGGCUUAUCAACUUGUUAUGUCUGGGAGGCAGGCUGACAGGUUCAGAGAGGUCCAGAGCAGGAUCGACUCCUACCUCAUCCUCUUCCCCAUGGUCAGCUACAUCGGCAUAACACGCCAACUCAACCGAAUCUACAACGUCCUCGUUCCAGAUGAUGCCUCAAGCUUUGAACCGUCUCCAUCCUUCCAGUCGACCCUGGUUCAGCAGCCUGCAGAGGUCGCUCGGGAGGUACUACCGCAUGGAACCGGGGAGUUCAAGUUGCCAGAGAUAGUGGCGGCCACCAAUAACUUCGCCCUUGACACCGAGAUCGGUGAAGGCGGCUUUGGAACGGUGUACAAGGGCAGACUUCACGAUGGGCGGGAGGUGGCCGUCAAGCGUUACCGGCACCAAGGUUCCCACCAGAUGAAGGAGUUCAACAUGGAGCUCGCCAUCCUUUCCCGUCUCCGCCACAAGCACAUCGUUCAUCUCCUUGGCUGGUGCCUGGACAAGGUGAAGGAUAGGCGCCUACUAUCCUUCCGAAGAAAGAAGCAGGAGCAGGGGCACUUGGUCAUCUAUGAGUACAUGGAGAAUGGCACGCUCUACGACCACCUGCACCGCGAGCCCUCCUCGCUGGUGACUGUGUCCUGGAAGAUGCGCAUCGAUGUGCUUCUGGGUGUUUCGCGUGCCAUCGAGCACCUGCACUGCCAUGCCAUGCCGCCGGUCAUCCACCGCGACAUCAAGUCAGUGAACGUCCUUUUUGACUCGAGCUGGGUUCCACGUGUGUCAGACUUUGGCAUUUCAAUCACCUGGCAAACGACGAAUGAGGAGGAGGACUUCCCCGUUAUAGGCACAUAUGGGUACAUCGACCUGGAGUACGCCCACACAGGGCGCCUGAAACUGGCAAGUGACGUGUACAGCUUGGGUGUGGUGAUGCUCGAGGUACUGACAGGGAAGAAGGCAAUUAUUGGCUGGGAUGGGGAGACAGAUUCACCGCUGGACCUGGUAUCAUUCUCGCUCCCCAUCAUUGAGGCCGGCAACAUUGGGGAGUUGCUGGACAGACGCCCUUUGCCGGAACCAACGCCGCAACAGCUCAUGGCGCUAGAGCAUGUGGCGCAGACAGCAGCAUGCUGCGUGCAGAUGCAGGGUAAGGAUCGGCCAGCCAUAUCAGACGUCGUUGCCAGCCUCGAGAUGGCGCUCGAUCACAUCAUCCCUUCCACCUCUUUGGCUGAUGGGGUUCACAAGUGUUCUUUGCCUGUGCACUUCCACGACUCUCGUCCAUGUCCUCGACUCUGUCCUGAGCCAGCUGAGAGCUGGUUUGCUACACAGGAGGAGUCGGAAGGGGUGCUAUCAGAUUCAGAUAUCCCUGAACCAAGAUACCACAGAGCCCUUCCACUUCCAACAGGUAGAUAUUUCUUUGUCGUAUUUUACAGGCAGCAAUCCUUUCGAGCUAGUCUGGACUCUCAAUCUUUUGUGCAUGUUAGUAGUAGGUGGCUGCCUGCAAUGGCGCUGUGGACUGGGCUGGGUCAGGCGGUGACGGUGGCGCAGCUGAUCGGCACCGACAUCGGCGGGCUCAUCUCCAUGAUCAUGCAGGCUGCGCUGACGGCUUGCCAAAACAGGAGGGAGUGCGAGCAGCUCGCGCGCCGGGUCCUCAUGAUCGCAGAGCUUCUGCCGCACCUGCAGGUGCAGGAUCCGGAGGCCAUGCGGCCGCUGGUCGGGUUGGGCGACACGCUCCGGGACGCGCACGAGCUUGUUGUGUCCUGCCAGGGGAGGAGCGUGGCUUAUCAACUUGUUAUGUCUGGGAGGCAGGCCGACAGGUUCAGGGAGGUCCAGAGCAGGAUCGACUCGUACCUUAUCCUCUUCCCCAUGGUGAGCUACAUCGGCAUAACCCGCCGUCUCGACCGAAUUUACAACAUCCUCGUUCCAGAUGAUGCCACAAGCGGUGAACCGUCUCCACUCUUCCAGUCGACCCUGGUGCAGGAGUCUGAAGAGGUCACUCAGGAGGAAUCACCGGAUGGAACCGAGUUCACGUGGCGGCGAUCAUGGUGGCCACCAAUAACUUUGCCCUUGACACCAGGAUCGGUGUAGGCGGCUUUGGAACGGUGUACAAGGGAAGACUUCAUGACGGCCGGGAGGUGGCCAUCAAGCGCGCCCAGCACAAUACGAUCCAGGUUGAGGAGCAGUUCCGCAUGGAGCUCAUCGUCCUUUCCCGUCUCCGCCACAAGCAUACCGUUAAUCUCCUUGGCUGGUGCUUGGAGAAGGAUAAGCGCCUACUAUCCUUCCGAAGAAAGAAGCAGGAUCAAGAGCACUUGAUAGUCUAUGAGUACAUGGAGAAUGGCACGCUCUACGACCACCUGCACCGCGAGCCCUCCUCCUCGCUGGUGACUGUGUCCUGGAAGAUGCGCAUCGAUGUGCUUCUGGGUGUUUCACGUGCCAUCGAGCACCUGCACUGCCACGCCAUGCCACCGGUCAUCCACCGCGACAUCAAGUCAGAGAACGUCCUUUUUGACUCGAGCUGGGUUCCUCGUGUGUCGGACUUCGGACUAUCGGUCAUCUGGGACAUGAAGAAAAACGAAGAGGAAUUUCGCAUUGCAGGCACGAUUGGGUACGUCGACCCGGAGUACUACCACACAGGCCGCCUGAACCCGGCGAGUGACGUGUUCAGCUUGGGUGCGGUGAUGCUUGAAGUACUAACAGGGAAGAAGGCAUUUAUAAGAGAUUUAUGGGUGGACCUGGUAUCCUUCUCGCUUCCCAUCAUUGAGGCCGGAAAUCUGGGGAAAUUACUGGACAGGCGCCCAGCACCAGAGCCAACACCUCAACAACUCCAGGCACUGAAGCACGUAGCACAGACAGCAGCAUGUUGCGUGCAGAUUCAGGGCAAGGACCGGCCAGCCAUAUCAGACCUCGUCACCAGCCUCGAGAUGGCGCUCGAGCACAUCACACCUUCCACUCCUUUGGCUGGUGUGGUUUCCUUGCCUGUGCACUUCCAUGGCUCUCAUCCAUGUCCUCUUAUUUGGCCCGAGCCACCUGAUACUGAUAGCCGGUGGUAUAUACAGGAGGUGUCUGAAGGGGUGCUAUCAGAUUCAGACAUCCCUGAACCAAGAUAGCGCACAUGAAAGCUUAAGAAAGUCAAAUCAUUUAACCAUCAACAUUUUACACUAAAAAGAACUCAACAAAAAAACCAUUGCAUUUUUACUUUGUAACGCUGGCAUGCUGGAGUAUUUUGAAACUCGAAAUGAUUGCAUUUUUAACAAUGCCUAGCCAUCCCUCUAUAGGUGUAGGAGGAUCUUUAAAGAAAAUAUGAAUCUAGUAUUUCACCGUGCCAAAAGAAACACCUACAACAGUUUCAGGGGCUGGAUUGUAUCUUUCAGAUAACGUUUCGUUAUCCUGAACUCUUUGUAACAUAUUUUUUUUAUACAUAUCUAUAUAGUCAUAGUAGAUCAUUGAUCUACUGUACUUUCCUCAAAAAAUAACUACCGAUUUUUCUAAUUUAAUCGCAAAACCACGAUCAUUCGGGCAAGUUUUGACACAUUGCACGAUUUGGCCAUUUGCCGCUUUUAAGCUUGUUUAAGACAAUAAAAAACCAAUCAAAAUUUGACAAACCUACAGAAAUUAUUUGAAUACAACUACCAAUAACACAAACAUGAGCUCCAUUACAUAUAGAAGGACAUUAUAAGUACAUUUCAACAAAGUUUCAACAUAGAAGUACAUUCUUCACGAUUAGAGACAAACAAGGGUCACACAAAUUAAACUUCAAAAUUUCAUUGGUUUAAGCUUCAACCCUGUAAGUAUUAAACCACCCACAUACAACAUUUAACCAAUGACAUUGAGGAUGCAUGCACAAGCUUAAACGGGGCGAGCAGCCAAAUCGGUGCAAAAGUGACAAAACUUGCCUGAAUGGUGGUGGUUUUGCGUUAAAAUUACGAAAACCAUGCAGUUGUUAUGUGACACAUGUGUCUUCAAUGUGAUGGUUCUGUA